GUCAGUCGCAGCAUUAGCCCCAGUACAGGUGGACUCCAAUAGCUAACAAGAAAAUACAUAUUAGGCCAAAGUAUAUGAUAGCAUGUACCAAUAUGGAAAUUCCACUUGUCUGGAAGUUCCCAAACUCUAGGACGUUGGUCCUACCUGGUAUCUGAACAAGAAGACCUGGAGUCAAGAGAAUGAAGAGUACUACUGACACAAAAACUGGACCCCAAUCUCCCAUUUUCUCCUCUUCUUCCUACCCUUAAUUUGUGUGUGUUCUUGGUCUCUUUCACUAUCUCUAUUAGUGGGUUUUGCAAAUGAGAAUUUAAGGGAAAUGGGGUUUCAUUAAAAGGAGAAAUGGUGGCAAAAAGGUAAUAUCUUUGGCAC
rnacentral:lncRNA from 1 species